rnacentral:tRNA from 1 species
GGGGAUUUAGCUCAGCGGCAUAAGUACCUGCCUUGCAAGCAGGUGGUCGUGAGUUCAAUCCCCA